UGGCAGGUGACAACGUGGCAGUCCUCGCAGAGCAGCGGCUAGCAGACAGCGCGCCGCUCAUCUACUCAACUGAUUUGCUGUCACUGCCAUCAACGACGUGUGACGUAGAUACGUGAAACAGUGAGGCAACAGACGCUGUUCCAUGACUCCGGGAGGAAGAGAGCCAUGCCAUGGUCGAGCUAUUACAGUUUAGCUAAACCGUGAGCCAUGCCACCGCCGUUCCCAUUCCCAGCAGCUCCUUGUGAACAACGCCGAUAAUGGGCAGUCAAGCAUGACUGACUCUGCCGGAUUUGGUGCACCUACAACUUUGUGACUAUUUUUGGCCGCCCCCAGUGUGAUUUGUGACUUUGUGACUACAACUUUAUUUCCCAGUCCAACUCUCUAAAUUAAUGAGUAAACUUUAGCAUGAUGGUGCUGAGAACCACAUUUAAUAAUUUGUACAUAUUAAUUUUUUUUAGAUAAAA